ensembl:lncRNA
UUUUUUUUUUUUUUUUUUUUUUUUUAGGAUUAACGAAAUAUAUUGGAAAUUGCCCUAAAAACCACUUUGGAGGAUAACUCUGCAAUUCCUUCUAUCUCUAGGCAAAACCACACCAGCCAGUGAAAAAUCUAACCAGCUAGUUUCUCAGUCUAACCUGCAAUUUUAACCUAAUGACUCAAGAAAUCAUAAAAAAUGCAGGAAGUGAAGCAGCCCACCUGUUGCGAAGCCCAGAAAGCUAAGGGAGGUGCCCAAGGUCACAAGAUCACUUACGGGACAGAACUGGUCCCUGGGUCACCCAGCAGCCACAGCAUCUGCAGUCUUGUGUCAGGGCAGAACAAGUAGCUGCUCAUUUCCUCCCACCCUAAGUCUUCGGUCUGCAUGUUUGAAAAUAGCUAUUUUUUUUUCUUUUCUUUUUAGGGCCAAACCAGCAUGUGAAAGUUCCUGGGCUAGGGUUGGAAUUGGAGCUCCAGCUGCUGGCCUCUGCCACAGCCACAGCCACGCCAGAUCCUUAACCCACUGAGCAAGGUCAGAUAUUGAACCUGCAUCCUCACGGACACUAUGUUGGGUUUUUAACCCACUGAGACACAACGGGAACUCCUGAAGACAGCUAUUUAAUUACUCUUGGCCUAUCUGCUCCAGGCUAAAUAAUGCUAGUUCUUUAGCCUUUCUUGGGAGGUUUUAUUCUCCAAACUCCUGAACCACCUUGGAAACUUUCCAAGCCAUUCUGGAUUCUCCGUCCUGAGGAGGGAGCCCACAAAAUGUGACAGGCGAGGAAAGCCCCAAUCCUCUGCUGGGAGCAGCCAAAGCACCCAGGGGUUCCCCGGCUGAGACAUUUCCAUGGUGUGGAUGUCUGCUGCCAUUUCAAGGGUUCUGCCCAAGGAAGUCCCAAGUUGCAAGCCGACGUCGCUGGAACAGCCGCCACUGUCUUCAGUGAGGUUGCCAGGUAAUUGAAUGACCAACAGCAGCUAUCAGGAGCUGUGCACCCCGAUAAGAGCAAUCAAAUUUCAUGCUUCAGGGGCUCCGCAGCUUUAGCCGGCCACCUCCGGGGUCACGAAGAAUUCCUUUCCCCACCAAACUGCUCUAUCUUUCCCUACAAAUAGUUCUGCACAAUCUGUUGGCCACAUUUUGUGCUUUUGUAUUUUCCUCUGCAGAGCCGCACUUCCCAAGGACAUUCCUGGGGGCAAGGAACCCGCGGUAAGAGACCAACCUAGACCAGCUUAUCACCAGAAAACUGAGGCAGGUGAUGACUUGUGUUGCCCUAGCACUGGACAUCCGUGUGGCGGGAGGGAAAGGAGAACAAAGAAGGGAAAUAAAAUGCACGAGGGAAAUGGAGGGAUGAGCAGAGGAAGAAAUCAAACACAUUCCCGACAAAGAGCAAGGACCCCUGUGUGAGCACCAGCCAAGCUGCCUCCCCUCCUGCAACAUCAGAACACAUCGCGUGAGGUGACACUGUUAGGAGAGAGAAUCCCAGCUCAACAGCCACCAUGGUAUCACUCUUUGGCUCUAUGCCAAUAAAGAUACCUGCUGAGGACCCUGAAGAACUUCCUCCCUUAUGAAUGCCUGGUCUUCUUGAUGCAUCAUUCAGAGAAAGACAGCAGACAAUGGGAGUCAGGAAUCGAUGCAGGUUCAGCACCAGCUCAAAUGAGUCUUCCUUUGUGGAGACGGAGGAUCUGCCAGACCUGCACCAAGGUCCCUGCUUUGUUAGACUAUCUGGGAUGACAAGGAGUCCACUUCUUGUGUUGAGACGCUUUGAGAAAUGCCCUAUAGCAGUCUGGAGGAAAGCUUCUUGCGGAAAAGAUGUCUUGAGAAGUGUAACAUUUAACAAUAGUGUUUACACUUCCAUUGUUGUUCUCACUUAAAAUGAUUUAAAGUGGGAGUUCCCUUUGUGGCUCAGUGGUUAACGAAUCUAAGAACCAUGAAGUUGAGGGUUCGAUCCCUGGCCUUGCUCAGUGGGUUAAGGAUCUGGCGUUGCCAUGAGCUGUGGUGUAGGUUGCAGAUGCAGCUCAGAUCCCGUGUUGCUGUGGCUGAGGUGUAGGCUGGUGGCUACAGCUCCAAUUAGACCCCUAGCUUGGGACCUCCAUAUGCCGCGGGAGCGGCCCAAAGAAAUAGCAAAAAGACAAAAAAAAGACAAAAAAAACAAACAAACAAAAAAAAAAAAGAUUUAAAGGAGUUGUUGGUGUAAAUAACCUUUGGAAUCAUUAGGUUUCAGGAUGGAGAGCACAUAGCACCCAGGACCUGCAUGUCCUGGGUUGGGGGGGGUGGCACAGGUCUCUGGCGGCUCUAUCCCUGUCACCUACUACAUCCUCUGUGACUUAGCAAGGAUGCAGGGACAUUCACUGAGGAGCUAGUGCACUGUAGCUGCUGUGCCGUGAACGACUAAGAGAAAUGAAAUCAUACAAGUGCCAGGAUUAGAGCUGGCAGGGGGGUCUAUGUGUUGAGGUAGAAGGAGAGUGUUCUAGACAAAGGGAACGGGGUGAGCAAAGACAUCCUGAUGGGUUUGGAGGAGCGCGUCGUUGGAGGGGAGGCUAGGCUACAGGUAGGCAAGCGUUACAUGAGAGUGGAGGGGAUUCUUUCCUGUUAAAUAAUAGGAAAGUAACUAAAGGGCCAAGGCACUUGUAGAAACAAGCUCUGAUUCCAAACCCCCUUCAUCCUUUCUCUCCUCAAACCACAUGACUCUGCAAGGGCGCCUUGCCCUGGCUGCAAAGAGCCAUGCGCCUCUGUCCAGAUGGAGAUCACAUGUGGGUCAAGGUUGAAAGAGCCCAUCUAUCCAUCCCACUGUCAAAGCCAACCCACGCAUCACACCCAGGAUGUGUCAGGUGCCCAGGAUGGAAUAGGAUGGAGGCAGGGCCCGGGAAAUAGGAGCUCAUGUUUUCCAGCUAGAAGAGCCAUUCUUUAUCACAUUGUGAUUACACGCCAGGUACUGUGCUCAGCGCCUCACAAAUAACCUCAUUAAGUCCUUGAAAAACCUGACAAUGGACCAGUGUACGCAGUAGCACUCCUGUCUUAUAGAUGAGGAAACGGAGACUCAAAUGGAUUAACUGACCAGUCUACUGUCUCACAGAGUGAGUUUCUGUAUCAGGAGGUGACUUUACGUGGGUCAGACUAUGGCCCAUAGUUGACCUCAGCUCCACUCUGCCCUGGGAGCUACUUGUUCUGGGCUUUCCUUCUCAAAGUCUGUCCUGAUCAAGUGCUAUCCUGCAUGGUGGCCACUGUCCACAUGUGGUGGCUGGGCCCAUGAAACGCAGCUGCUACACACUAAGAUGUGCUUGCAGGGUAAACACACCCUAAAGUCAAAGACUUUGUACAAAAAAACAACAAAAAAGAAAACCAAAAGGAGGUAAAAUAUCUCAGAAAAUGUAGGUUUCUUGCUGAAAUAGUAAUAUCUUGGAUAUACUGAGUUAGAUACAUUAUUUAAACUAAUUCCAGGAGUUCCCACUGUGGCACUGUGUAAUGAACCUGACUAGUAUCUGGGAGGGCACAGGUUUGAUCCCUGGCCUUGCUCAGUGGGUUAAGGAUCUGGUGUUGCCAUGAACUGUGGUACAGUCACAGACGUGGCUUGGAUUCUGCAUUGCUGUGGCUGUGGUAUAGGCCGGCAGCGGCAACUCCGAUUCGACCUGGGAACUUCCAUGUGCCAUGGGUACAGCCCAAAACAACAACAACAACAACAAAACAAAAUACAAAAAAACCCAACCAAAAACCUAAUUUCACAUAUUUAUUUUUAAAAACAUGGCCUGCGUUACUUCCAUCUGGCUACACGGGUCUGGCUGGAGAGUACAGGCUUACAGGCUCCCUUGGGUCCAAGCAGUGGGCCCUAAGGAACUGGAGAUGCUGCGGAGGGAGGGGUCCCCUCUGCUCCACUUCAGGGAGCAGGGGUUCCACUUAAGUGAGACUUUUACCAGUGCCUCCCCUUCCCAGUCCUAGGGAGGGGGAGGCCAGUAUUCCAUGUUCAUUAGUUAAUAUUUGCAAAGUGCUUUGAAGAUGAAAUGCACUACAUAAAUGCUAAUAAUGGCCGCUGCUCUGCUGCGGGCCUUUCAUCUGGAGAUUUCAAAGUUCGCAUCACAGGCAGGCAGUAUUGUUCUCUUACUUUAACAUUAAUUGUACCUCAUCAGGGUGCUGGAUCCUUAGUUUUCUUGCCUUCAGCCCCAGAGCAGCCUGGCAGAAAACAAGCAGCAGGUGGCCUGUGGGUGGCCACAGGGAUGGGAAGAAGGAUGGUCCUGGCUCCCAGUCCUAGGCUGGGCUUGCAUUCACAGAGAAGGGGUGUCCUGUGGGAUGGAGUUGGACCAGCAGACUCCCCAUAUUCAACAUUCCCCUCAUCCUGCUCUCCCUGUGGGGUUCUCCUAGAGCCCAGCACAAGCCAAACACUCAGCAAGUGCUGGUGGCCCAGCAGUUUGGUGGAGGAGGGGUCUGUCCUGAAUUGCCAACCUGCGUGGGAGAUGGCACAGCCCAAGACGGGGAUGACAGAUCCAGACCAGCCCUGGCUGGGCCCCCUGCCAUCCUCUGCUGUCUGCAGCAGGCUGGCACAAGGAAAGUGGCCUCUGACUUGCUGUGCUUAGUCAGGCAGAGCCAGAGAGCCUGCAAAAAUAGAAAGGGGCUGGGCCUCAGUGUGACAUCCCUGGAGGAGAAACUCCUUGAUGCUAAUGAAAGCCACCAGGAAGUCAGGCAGUGUGAGGUGUCACAGCUGGAGUCCCCACUGCUCAGGAAGGACAGCUGGAGAAGGCUCAUUCCUCUCUCCAAGUGAGAAGGGGAGGAUGGAGCUUAGAACACAAAAGAGCCUGGGGGGCCAACACCCCCCACCCACGGGGGCUGGCUGUGUGAGCACAAGCUUUCAUAGGAAGGAAGAAAAUGUGUCAUUUCAGAUUAGGUAAGUUGAACAUUACUAAUUAAGAAAUUACUUAAUUAUGGAGAAGAAAAUAAAAUGAAGGUAUUUUUGCCCUUGAGGGAAAAAAAUCUUUGAUUUGCUAAAUCAAGGAAAUGAUUAGACUCAAACUUUAAAUAAUUGGAAAUGGCUGCAACAAAAGCGUUGGAAUGGGCACCCCACACAGGGUGCCCUAGAUGGCUGCCUUUGGGCCAAGCACCCUCACCCCUGCCACAGGGGGUGGGGGGUGGGGCAGAAAACCAGACCUGCCCAUGAACCCUGCCUCAUGCGAUGGGUAUCUCUCCACAAUGCUUCAUUUAUCAGCCCUUGAUCUGGUGGAAUCCCUGCCCCCCAUCUGUGGGCUUCUCCCCAAGACUCAGCCAACAGCUUUCUUCCCCUCACCCACCAUUCUUCAGCUGGUAGCUUCUAAACCUUUCUUCUCUGGCUCACCAGACCAGGCAUUAGUGCUAUGGUUACUCCCUGCCCCACCUGGCCUCAAUUCUGCAGCUCAGAAGAGUUCCGUGAUCGAUCAAAACAGCCAGCAACCAGCCUAGAUUGGAUAUACACCAGUUCAGCAGCCUGGUAUUCUUUGUAAAGAUGAGAUGAGGAGAGCUCUUUUGCGUUUCUUCAUUACAACCCUGAUCUUGCUCCAAGACCUCGCCUUUAUGUGGAUAAUUCCUCUUUCUCUAGCUAAGCCCUAUCUUUCAGGCCUCGUUUUUCAUUUGCCGCCACCAUGCAUUCACAGAUCACCUCAACAUGCAAUGUCCCUCUCUUCACCAGCCCUUCUGUGCACCCCAAACCAUUACACUUCAAAGAAUUUGAAGGUAUCCUACAGGUUAAAAACUCAAGUCUGCUAUUCUUCUCUCUCUACUUUCCCCCACAUCCAAUCUAUGAAUUCUUUCCUUAAAGCAUGAAAACCUGUGUUUAUUUAGCACUUAGAGCUCCUGGACAUUUCCCAUACAUUCAUCUUAUUUGCUCUCUUAGGAAUCUGAUGAUGUUGGCAGGUGAAAUACACUUCCUCCUUCUUUUCAAUAGGUGGAGAAAUAAGGGUCCAUGCACAGGUACACAUGCGAUGUCAUUUUUCUGGGAACACCUUCUAUUAUCUCCCUAAGGACAUGUUCCCUGGAACCUGAAGGAUAGUUUUGUGCUUCCUUUAACCUCUGUAUCAUCAAUAUUUCCUCUAGACUCUUAGGUCCAUGAGAUUAGUAACUAUUCACUAUCACUUCCAUGUUGCUCAACACCAUGCCCAGGAGACAGAAAGCAGACACAGCAUUAUUUCCCAGUGAACAGAUGCAUGAAAAUAAAUGAAUGAGAUCACAUUCCUACAAUCACACAGCUGGUAAAUAGUAGAGCCAGAGAGGAGAGCCAAGACGUUUUUUUCCCCUCCUACUAUGUUCCUAAUCAGUCUCCUUGAUAGAUCC